rnacentral:rRNA from 1 species
GAUGAACGCUGGCGGCAUGCCUAAUACAUGCAAGUCGAACGAGAGGAAGGAAAGCUUGCUUUUCUGAAUCUAGUGGCGAACGGGUGAGUAACACGUAGGUAACCUGCCCAUGUGCCCGGGAUAACUUCUGGAAACGGAUGCUAAACCGGAUAGGUAGCAGACAAGCAUUUGACUGCUAUUAAAGUGGCUAAGGCCAUGAACAUGGAUGGAGCUGCGGUGCAUUAGCUAGUUGGUGAGGUAACGGCCCACCAAGGCGACGAUGCAUAGCCGGCCUGAGAGGGCGGACGGCCACAUUGGGACUGAGACACGGCCCAAACUCCUACGGGAGGCAGCAGUAGGGAAUUUUCGUCAAUGGGGGGAACCCUGAACGAGCAAUGCCGCGUGAGUGAGGAAGGUCUUCGGAUCGUAAAGCUCUGUUGUAAGAGAAAAACGACAUUCAUAGGGAAUGAUGAGUGAGUGAUGGUAUCUUACCAGAAAGUCACGGCUAACUACGUGCCAGCAGCCGCAGUAA